rnacentral:tRNA from 1 species
AGGGUUGUAGUUAAUUAUAACAUUUAAUUUGCAUUUAAAAAGUAUUGAUUUAUCAAUCUACCUUA